rnacentral:sRNA from 1 species
AUUCUACCCAUGUGGGGAAGGAUGAGAAGCUUCGACUAAGGUUCGAUUCGAGCGCAGCGAGAAAGCGUUGCCGCAGGCAACGACC